rnacentral:rRNA from 1 species
UGGGGAAUAUUGGACAAUGGGCGAAAGCCUGAUCCAGCCAUGCCGCGUGUGUGAAGAAGGUCUUCGGAUUGUAAAGCACUUUAAGUUGGGAGGAAGGGCAUUAACCUAAUACGUUAGUGUUUUGACGUUACCGACAGAAUAAGCACCGGCUAACUCUGUGCCAGCAGCCGCGGUAAUACAGAGGGUGCAAGCGUUAAUCGGAAUUACUGGGCGUAAAGCGCGCGUAGGUGGUUUGUUAAGUUGGAUGUGAAAUCCCCGGGCUCAACCUGGGAACUGCAUUCAAAACUGACUGACUAGAGUAUGGUAGAGGGUGGUGGAAUUUCCAGUGUAGCGGUGAAAUGCGUAGAUAUAGGAAGGAACACCAGUGGCGAAGGCGACCACCUGGACUAAUACUGACACUAAGGUGCGAAAGCGUGGGGAGCAAACA